rnacentral:rRNA from 1 species
CGGACGGGUGAGUAAUGUCUGGGAAACUGCCCGAUGAGGGGGAGUAACUACUGGAAACGGUAGCUAAUACCGCAUAACGUCGCAAGACCAAAGAGGGGGACCUUAGGGCCUCUUGCCAUCGGAUGUGCCCAGAUGGGAUUAGCUAGUAGGUGGGGUAAUGGCUCACCUAGGCGACGAUCCCUAGCUGGUCUGAGAGGAUGAUCAGCCACACUGGGACUGAGACACGGCCCAG